rnacentral:lncRNA from 1 species
AAAACCUUCCGAAUCUGGAUGUGUAGUCCUCUGAAUUCGAGAAAAAGGCAUAAUUUUUCAAAGGGAAAUAGAAGCUUCAGGAUAAAUUUAAGGAGUUUUUAGAGUUUGUUACGUUAGAAACAUACUUGCAAUAUUAGCCAGUUACAUUUUGUGUGCAAACUGUAUUGAGAGUGAAGAUUAUGCUGCGAGGGACAAUUUGCUUGAAAGCAAAGAUUAGUCGAUAAAUUGACUUGCGAAUAUACAGCAUACCAGCUGUCAAAAACUGCUUCCGCUUUGGAAUGCAGUCACUCCAUCGGACCAUCAGCGAGGAUAAAAAAGAAGCCUUCGUGUCGACUGGUCGUGGAAAAGGCUACCGCGUACCGAUUAGAAAAGUUUGCGAAACAGAAACGCCCGCUUAAAAUACGGUUGGCAAAGAGUGUGACCGUGGGAAACAUCGGUCGGUGAUUAAAAUAAACCGUCGGAAUCGAAGUAAAAAAUUAGCCACCACUCGGAAACUCAUCCACACGAGGGACCAUUCUCGGUGUCCCGGAAAAAAACAGCCACGAGUGAUUAACUGGUCCGCACAGCCUUCGCCGAAGGGAGCCGGCAUUUCUUUGGAGAGCCAUUCAGCUUAGGAAAACAAUUCAGAUUACCUGGUAAGGAAAAUCAUGGAAUUUUACGAUGACAGCACUGACACCAUUGCCUUGCAGGACAAUCGGGCAUUGUGAAAAGCACCUUGAGAUUCUUCGGGACGUACUCGUCGCCCAAGCAAACUGCGUCACGAGAUUUAGCAGCAAGCAUCCCCUUCGUUGGAUCCGUAGGUCCACUGACGUCGAUCAUCCGGUAAUAGGAUCAGGAAAGGGACUCGGUAAGCGAUGCAACGAGCGUCAAAAUGGCAGGAUCCUAAUUUGUUUGCCUUACAGAACACUAGGGCGUACGAAGGACGUGCUGAAGUGCCGAAUAGACCUGUUGGAACAACCCGACCAGCGAAACAAGAGAGCCUUACAAGGCUCUUUUUUUUCUACAGCUUCGAUUGGCCUUCAGACUCAUUCGGCGGAGGACUCUGGACCGCGACCAAUCCAUCAGCAAGGUACGAGCUGUCACACGAUCGAGGUCCAUCGACAGCGUAGAUCCCAAACAGGGUCGGGAUUCGGCACGGAGAGCGGGUGAUCGUGGAUGCCGGGGAUUACGGUGGUAGAUGAGCCACUGGCCAGCGUUAUUAUACGAAAGAAGCAUGUUGGCCGAAGCGGACGCGCUCGCCCACAAGCAGCAAUGAAGCGGUGACCGUGAGUACGAUGAAGAAAGUGGCAUAGAGUGAAAGAAGAGCUAGAAUGUUAGGGUCCAGAAGAGUAGGAGCAUGAGACAGGUUAAGGAAAAGUAAAUAAAAUGUUUGCACACUAAUAUUGCA